rnacentral:lncRNA from 1 species
UCCAUUCCAUGAUAAUGUUCAAUGUGUUUGCUUUGUCUAUCUUCAUGCCAGAUUUCAAUGUUUAAUUCAAAAAUCAUAUGAAGUUGGUCAUGAUCAUGGUCAUAUUCACUGUACAAAGAACAAUUUCUGAUUUCAUAGUAAUGAUUGGUGAUGUUCCAGCGUGUAUCUUUAGGAAAUAGUUUGAGAAUUUAUAAAAUUAGAUUGGGUUCAAAGUUGUUAUAACAUAAACAACAUUUUAAGUUACAGUUGGUGGGGAAGGAGAUUGAUUAUGAUCUGUAUUGCACCUAAGAAAACGUCAGGAACUGCUGUUCCUACAAUGAAUAACAGAAAUUGCAAUGUUCUGGGCUAGCAGAUUUCUUUCUUCUUAAAUUUUGCCCUUAGUGCUUCACUCUAUUGGAUCAGUUGGUCACCUCUAAUAACUUGCUGCAUUGGGAUACUAAACUUGCUGAAAUGACAUAAACCAUGCUUUCAAACUCUACUUUGAUUAUUUUUUCCAGUGGAGAUGAUUGCAAGCAAAAUCUGUGAUUCAUGGUGCGCUAGGAUAUCCAAUCCUUUUUUUUUUCUAAGAGUCAUAUGAAGAAAAUGCGCAAUUAAGUGCACAAUGCUUUAUGCAGCAUUUGAAAGCUAAGAUUUGAUGCUUCUAUAUGUGCAAUCCAUUAUAUUUACCACAUGUUCAUCCUAUUUUACAUCAGCAAGUUUGUCCUUUCCUCACUCUUCUUCUUCUUCGCAUAGGACUCGGUUCCUAUAGAUAAAGAGCAUACAUGAAACAUGCCUUUGGUAAAGAUACUAAAAUAUAUGUAUAAAGUCAUGUUAAUCACAUGAUGAUGACAGGCUUGGCUUGCGCAAAAUUAACCACAUGUUUUGAACAAAAUUUUCAUUUUGUUAGUUUUAAAUGAAUACUUUAGUUGUUUGCUACUUUGAAUAGUCAGAAUACAUUUUUUUUCCUUGCCUGGUUAAUAGCUCCUAUCAGGGUUAUCAAUGCAUUCAUAAAGGCUAAUCAUUGUGUUUUUUUUUUAUAUUCCAUUUAUUUUAUACAUCUAUUCUUGAGAUGUUUGUGCCAAUAUUUUACUCUACAAAUUAUUGUUAUCAUUCAAUUUCUCAACAAAUUGUCCCCUGUAACUCAUUCGAUCAAUUAAAAACAUCUCUCUUAUGUUCACAUCUAUACAUCAUGCUAUAUUUCUCAUAUUUUCUUGCUUAAAGCUACCUAUAUAUAUGUGUGUGUGUCCCACACUUUUCUUUACAGCUUAUUAUAUUAGAGGACUUUAUGACUUCUGACAUAAUUUCUCUAAUUUUUUUUUUAUAGAACUUCAAAAUAAAAUUUUCCAUUGUUAUUAAGUUUUUUCACCUUUUAUCGGUAUACAACAAUUGUAAAAAGAAAAACAAAGAAUAAACAAUGAAAAAAACAGUUUAAUUAUUCUUAUAAUGACACGAUACAAUCAAUGACCCACAGGUUCUUCUCUCAUUAUAUUUUAUGCAAAUUAACAUUAACAUUAAUUAACAAUUAACAAAGAAACUAAAUCAUUUUUUUUGCUUCUGCAUUAUUAAGUAAAUUAGUGGGCCAGUACGCAUUAAAUAUUUUCUAUUUGCUGGCAGCAUACCCUUUGUUUUCUUUUGAAUCUGCAUUGUUAAUUAAAUUAGUGGGUCAAUAUGCAUUAAAUGCAUCCUAUUUGCUGCAGUAUUAAUUAAAUAGGUGGGCCAGUACGCAUUAAAUAUUUUCUAUUUGCUGGCAGCAUACCCUUUGUUUUCUUUUGAAUCUGCAUUGUUAAUUAAAAGUAGUGGGUCAAUAUGCAUUAAAUGCAUCCUAUUUGCUGCAGCAUUAAUUAAAUUAGUGGGCCAGUACGCAUUAAAUAUUUUCUAUUUGCUGGCAGCAUACCCUUUAGUUUCUUUUGAAUCUGCAUUGUUAAUUAAAUGAGUGGGUCAAUAUGCAUUAAAUGCAUCCUAUUUGCUGCAGCAAAUACGCUGCAUAGCAACCAUGCUCAAGGGAGGAUCUCUAGACGUUCUGAUACUACUAUACUAGCCCGACGGCGGGCACUAUCAUCAUGACAUAUAUAUGGUCUCUGUUGUUAAAAUUAUUUUUUUUCAUUGAAGUGCAUCUAAAAAUAUAUUAUAUGCUUUGUCUAUAUCCGGUCUCUGUAUUUCUUUGCCCACCAGUUAUUGCACUCUCUUUUCAUCUUUCUCCAUUGCCUCUCUUGCUGGUUGUUGCACCAUCAGUUUAGUUUUUUUCCCUCUUUUCAUUGCCUCUCUUACUAUUUUUUUUUAGUUUGUUUUUUUAUGCAUCCAUAAUUAAUCUGUGUGGUUCCUUUGUUUUCAGCAGAUUUGUUGAGCUUUUCUAGCCUUCUUUUCGGUUGGGUUGCUGCUUUGUUCACGUUAACGCUUGCUUGCCUUACGCUGCUGGUAUGUGCAUGUAUUAUUGGUCUGCAAGAUUAAUGGUUGUCUUCUUCUUGCUAUGUUGAACUGUGAGACCAGCUUCUCUUUUUUUUUUUUCCAUUUGUUUUUUAACCAACCAGCAAGGGUGUUGCUUGCUAAGAAAUUGUAUUCAAAUUCGUUUCUGCUGUAUUUUCUUCCCUUUUGAUGGUUGUUGAAUUUGUGCUUUAGAUUCCCAUCUUUAUUUAUUUAGCCAAUUCAUGUUGCAAUUUAUAUUUGUUCUUUU